rnacentral:misc_RNA from 1 species
GUGAAUCAUCAAAUCUUUGAACGCAAAUUGCACUCUCUGGUAUUCCGUAGAGUAUGCCUGUUUGAGUGUCAUUUAAAUAAAAAUCUGUGUGGUUUCUUCUUUUCGUUUUGACGCACCGUAUUUUUGUCGUCUUGCCUUCGGUUAAGUGUCCUAAAAUUUUGCAUGAUUUUUUCGAACGUAUUUAAAUUAUUUUACGUACGUUUUCGUUAUUUAUUUCUAGGUGUGGUCAUCCUCAUGAUUCGCUCCUAUAAUUUCUCAUCAAAAUGACCUCAAUUCAGGUAUGAGU